rnacentral:rRNA from 1 species
GUCGAGAAUCUUUCACAAUGGGGGCAACCCUGAUGGAGCGACGCCGCGUGGAGGAUAAGGUCUUCGGAUUGUAAACUCCUGUCAUGCGUGAACAAGGUUGCUUGGUUAAUACCUGGGCAAAUUGAUGGUAACGCAAGAGGAAGAGACGGCUAACUCUGUGCCAGCAGCCGCGGUAAUACAGAGGUCUCAAGCGUUGUUCGGAAUCACUGGGCGUAAAGGGUGCGUAGGUGGCGUGGUAAGGCAGAUGUGAAAGCCCGGGGCGCAACCUCGUAACUGCAUCCGAUACUGCCAUGCUAGAGUACUGGAGAGGUGACUAGAAUUCUCGGUGGAGCAGUGAAAUGCGUAGAUAUCGAGAGGAAUACCAAAGGCGUAGGCAGGUCACUGGACAGUUACUGACACUGAGGCACGAAGGCCAGGGGAGCGAACGGGAUUAGAAACCCGAGUAGUCC